UACGUAGGGUGCGAGCGUUGUCCGGAAUUACUGGGCGUAAAGAGCUCGUAGGUGGUUUGUCGCGUUGUUCGUGAAAACUCACAGCUCAACUGUGGGCGUGCGGGCGAUACGGGCAGACUAGAGUUCGGUAGGGGAGUCUGGAAUUCCUGGUGUAGCGGUGAAAUGCGCAGAUAUCAGGAGGAACACCGGUGGCGAAGGCGGGACUCUGGGCCGAUACUGACGCUGAGGAGCGAAAGCGUGGGGAGCGAACAGG
rnacentral:rRNA from 1 species